ACGAACGCUGGCGGCAGGCCUAACACCUGCCAGUCGAGCGCGCCCUUCGGGGUGAGCGGCGGACGGGUGAGUAACGCGUGGGAACGUGCCCUUUUCUACGGAAUAGCCUCGGGAAACUGAGAGUAAUACCGUAUACGCCCUUUGGGGGAAAGAUUUAUCGGAAAAGGAUCGGCCCGCGUUGGAUUAGGUAGUUGGUGGGGUAAUGGCCUACCAAGCCGACGAUCCAUAGCUGGUUUGAGAGGAUGAUCAGCCACACUGGGACUGAGACACGGCCCAGGCUCCUACGGGAGGCAGCAGUGGGGAAUCUUAGACAAUGGGGGCAACCCUGAUCUAGCCAUGCCGCGUGAGUGAUGAAGGCCUUAGGGUUGUAAAGCUCUUUCAGCUGGGAAGAUAAUGACGGUACCAGCAGAAGAAGCCCCGGCUAACUCCGUG
rnacentral:rRNA from 1 species